AACGAACGCUGGCGGCAUGCCUAACACAUGCAAGUCGAACGAGACCUUCGGGUCUAGUGGCGCACGGGUGCGUAACGCGUGGGAACCUGCCCUUAGGUUCGGAAUAACUCCCCGAAAGGGGUGCUAAUACAGGAUAAUGUCUUCGGACCAAAGAUUUAUCGCCUUUGGAUGGGCCCGCGUUGGAUUAGCUAGUUGGUAGGGUAAAAGCCUACCAAGGCGACGAUCCAUAGCUGGUCGGAGAGGAUGAUCAGCCACACUGGGACUGAGACACGGCCCAGACUCCUACGGGAGGCAGCAGUGGGGAAUAUUGGACAAGGGGCGAAAGCCUGAUCCAGCAAUGCCGCGUGAGUGAUGAAGGCCUUAGGGUUGUAAAGCUCUUUUACCCGGGAUGAUAAUGACAGUACCGGGAGAAUAAGCACCGGCUAACUCCGUG
rnacentral:rRNA from 1 species